AGCGCGAUGACCGAGUGGUUAAGGCGUUUGACUUAAGUUCCAAUGGACGCAUGUCCUCGUGGGUUCGAACCCCACUCGCGCUA
rnacentral:tRNA from 1 species